rnacentral:rRNA from 1 species
UAGGGAAUCUUCGGCAAUGGACGAAAGUCUGACCGAGCAACGCCGCGUGAGUGAAGAAGGUUUUCGGAUCGUAAAACUCUGUUGUUAGAGAAGAACAAGGACGUUAGUAACUGAACGUCACCUGACGGUAUCUAACCAGAAAGCCACGGCUAACUACGUGCCAGCAGCCGCGGUAAUACGUAGGUGGCAAGCGUUGUCCGGAUUUAUUGGGCGUAAAGCGAGCGCAGGCGGUUUCUUAAGUCUGAUGUGAAAGCCCCCGGCUCAACCGGGGGGGGUCAUUGGAAACUGGGAGGCUUGAGUGCAGAAGAGGAGAGUGGAAUUCCAUGUGUGGCGGUGAAAUGCGUAGAUAUAUGGAGGAACACCAGUGGCGAAGGCGGCUCUCUGGUCUGUAACUGACGCUGAGGCUCGAAAGCGUGGGGAGCAAACAGG